GAUGAACGCUGGCGGCGUGCCUAAUACAUGCAAGUCGAGCGAACGGACGAGAAGCUUGCUUCUCUGAUGUUAGCGGCGGACGGGUGAGUAACACGUGGAUAACCUACCUAUAAGACUGGGAUAACUUCGGGAAACCGGAGCUAAUACCGGAUAAUAUUUUGAACCCCAUGGUUCAAAAGUGAAAGACGGUCUUGCUGUCACUUAUAGAUGUAUCCGUGCUGCAUUAGCUAGUUGGUAAGGUAACGGCUUACCAAGGCAACGAUGCAUAGCCGACCUGAGAGGGUGAUCGGCCACACUGGAACUGAGACACGGUCCAGACUCCUACGGGAGGCAGCAGUAGGGAAUUUUCCGCAAUGGGCGAAAGCCUGACGGAGCAACGCCGCGUGAGUGAUGAAGGUCUUCGGAUUGUAAAGCUCUUUUAUCAGGGAAGAAAAGAUGUGUAAGUAUAUCUGGAUUCCUUGACGGUACCCAAUCAGAAAGCCCCGGCUAACUACGUG
rnacentral:rRNA from 1 species